GUUUCCGGAUGAGCCAUACAAUCGACGAGCUUUGGUAUAUGAGGAAUAAUGUCGUUGUUUUCAACGACGGAACAUAAGUUCAACAUGCAUGUAAUAGCGGCACGAGAAAUUUCCGGUUUCGUAUCAUGCAUUCGUUCUUUAAUACAAGGAAUGAGAGCGGCCAUGUAAUCAGCAACAGCCUUGGGGGAUGAUGAUGCAAGAGAGCCCAGUAAUUGCAAAGCAGCCACUUUACUAGGCCAUUUGAUAGAUGAAUCGUCUAAGUAAGAAAUCAAGCUUGGAAUUAAGCGCGUUUCUACGGCUCCUGCAGGAAGACAAUCCAAGAGGGCUUGGGCGGCCAUUUUGGCGGCUUGUCUAACUACUUCACCACGAUCCGAGAACGAAUCCAAAAUAGUAGGAAGAUAAGGAAGGAAUACAACUUCGGAAGGCGUACCCAAAUUUUUAAUAACAGUAGCAAAACCAAUCAUGGCAGCUUCACGAUGGAAUCCCGACUUCUUAUUGCGAGCUGCACGUUCCAAGCCAUCCAAAAACCCCGUAGUCUUCAAAGUGACUAAAGGGUUGUCAUUUGAAAAAAGCUGGGCAAUUUUUUUACCUACAUCAGCACAGCUUUGAGAAGUUUCAGCAUCCAACAAUUCCUGCAAUAAUUUGAGGACAUCGUCCUCUUCGUAACCCUGAAUUAACACAGAGGAUGUCAUUUCUCUGCAAUGCCGUUCCAAAUCCCACAAUUAACCCGAUUAGGCCUUGCAAUGUAGCUUGGUGGAGGACAACUAUUGAUAUUGUGAGAAUCCCUUUCAUAUACUAAAUUUUAACCGCUCGCAAAUUUAUAAUUUGCCUUACAGUUC